rnacentral:rRNA from 1 species
AAAGGGUCCGUAGGCGGCCUUAUAAGUCAGUGGUGAAAUCUCCCGGCUCAACCGGGAAAUGGCCAUUGAUACUGUAGGGCUUGAAUUAUUAGGAAGUAACUAGAAUAUGUAGUGUAGCGGUGAAAUGCUUAGAGAUUACAUGGAAUACCAAUUGCGAAGGCAGGUUACUACUAAUGGAUUGACGCUGAUGGACGAAAGCGUGGGUAGCGAACAGGAUUAGAUACCCUUGU